CCUACGGGAGGCAGCAGUGAGGAAUAUUGGUCAAUGGGCGCGAGCCUGAACCAGCCAAGUAGCGUGAAGGAUGACUGCCCUACGGGUUGUAAACUUCUUUUAUAAAGGAAUAAAGUGAGGCACGUGUGCCUUUUUGUAUGUACUUUAUGAAUAAGGAUCGGCUAACUCCGUGCCAGCAGCCGCGGUAAUACGGAGGAUUCGAGCGUUAUCCUGAUUUUUUUGGUUUAAAGGGAGCGUAGGUGGGAUGGUAAGUCAGUUGUGAAAGUUUGCGGGUCAACCGUAAAAUUGCAAUUGAUACUGGCAGUCUUGAGUACAGUUGAGGUAGGCGGAAUGCGUGGUGGAGCGGUGAAAUGCUUAGAUAUCACGAAGAACUCCGAUUGCGAAGGCAGCUUACUAAACUGCCACUGACAUUGAUGCUCGAAAGUGUGGGUAUCAAACAGGAUUAGAUACCCCUGUAGUC
rnacentral:rRNA from 1 species